CCUCUUUUGGCUCUCGGUAAAACGCUGACUACGCCACCUCCCACAUGCUCUUAAGCGAGGGAAUGAAAAGGCGAAAAAGAGCGAAACACUAGGAUUUGAACAAAUGUUUGACUCGGAAUGCUGCUGAUACUCGUUUUACAAAAACAUAUUAUAAGGAGUCAUGUUUUCUCCUGAAGAUGGUAGGAGGUGGGUUCGAACCCACAGUCUGUUUUAUCUUGGGUGGUGGAUCUGAAGGUGUUUAUCUUAAAGAGCUGCCCUUUCAGCACUUUUAACAACUCAUCUCUCCGUCCAAAGGUCAAAUAAAAGAGUCUUUUUGUUUGUCAUUCUUCUGGGUCCUCCUCGGCUCGGGGCGCCCUUUGGGUCGACGGUCUCGAUCGCCGGGCCGACUCGGUCUUGGCUCAUGGGGUCAUUUGCUUGUUUCGCUAUGACACCACGAGAGUCCCCUUUAGAAGAACGGUAUAGAAAUUAUUUAUACCGUUAAUUCUUCGGUGGCCACAGCAAACAAAGAGUCUGUUUUCUAUUUUAGUUGUUGCUAUGAUUUAGGAGCAGACUCAAACCCGCAAGCUUCUACCGUGGAUGACUGGUCCAACCGGUUGAGCUACCGAGUCUGACUGGCUAGAACGCCGACCAAUGUUAGCGAUAGGUCUGCGGACCCCAUAAAUUAAUGGCUUGCCCCUUAUCACGGCUGGAGAGGACGGUGCUCGAACCCUGCACCUCCGUUUUUCUGAAUCGGCUCGUCUAUCUCGGUGAGCUAGUCCUCCGGCUGGAAGUAACCAGAAAUCUCUUUUAUCAUUGACAGAAUGAUGGGCGAUGCUAAUAAAUGGACAUUUUUUAGGUGGCUUGAGCUUAGGGUUUUCAUAGACUCGAGUCUGCCUCUUAAACCGGGGUGGUCGGUCUGUUUGAACCGUGUGGCCGGUUCGGGUCGCUCUCUUUUCGUUGUCUGCACCUUUAGCGGCGUACACUAUAAACUAUUUUUUUUUAAAUAAAGAGACUACUUUCUAUAAUAAUACCCCUCUACUCGGGCUGGGAUUCGAACUCGUGCACGGGUGGGUCCUAUCGAUGGUCUGCCCGGUUGGGCUACCGCAACCGACUCACCGCCCUGACGGUCAGUCGUGCUUUAUAACCGCGAUAGGUCAGCGGACCCCUUAAAUAAACGGGUCCUUUACUACAUACACCUGGACUGGCCGGUAUUGUAGGGGGUGGGUUGAAUUAGCUCGUUUAUUGGGGGCUAAUUCUCUGUGGCGAAGUAUUUAAUAUUAUUGGAAGUUGGAGUGCACUGCAUUUAAACUGGCAAUUAAGAAAUAAUUAGAAGUAAAUCCUACGUGGUGCGUAUGGGGGCUUGAUCCCGAGACUUCCCUUAUCCUCCUGAGCUACUCGCCCACCCUUUAUUAACCUCAGUGUCUCCAAAGUUAUGUGCGACACCGGACGACUCAAAAGGUGCACAGCAGGCGACGCGGGGACGAAAUCCUCUCGUUAAUGUAAGCCGAACAGCAACAGCAGACAGAGAAUCCCACUUUGAUAUUCCAUCCAUCCCUGUGGUUGUAUGAGCGCAAAUCCCCCCCACUAAUACGGUGGGACCCCAAGCGAGUGAAUUCAACUGCCUGCGCUGCUACUAAGGAGCCAAUUGUGUCUCGCCUUGUGUGAAGAGUUCAGUAAAAAUUAACAAUUUAGCUCGCGACUUUACUGAUGAAGUCAAUAAGAAUGAGCUGACUGAAGAACAGUAACCUGGCGCUUCUGUUUUUAAUCCGUUGUUCAUCUUUGUGUCUCAUAUAUUUAUAUUUAUUUAGUGU